rnacentral:rRNA from 1 species
UACAGAGGUCUCAAGCGUUGUUCGGAUUCAUUGGGCGUAAAGGGUGCGUAGGCGGCGCGGUAAGUCGGGUGUGAAAUCUCGGAGCUUAACUCCGAAACUGCAUUCGAUACUGCCGUGCUUGAGGACUGGAGAGGAGACUGGAAUUUACGGUGUAGCGGUGAAAUGCGUAGAUAUCAGGAGGAACACCGGUGGCGAAGGCGCUCAUCUGGCCCAAUACUGACGCUGAGGCGCGAAAGCUAGGGGAGCAAACGGG